rnacentral:tRNA from 1 species
GGCGGCGUAGCCAAGUGGUAAGGCGAGGGUCUGCAAAACCCUUAUGCACCGGUUCGAUUCCGGUCGCCGCCU